rnacentral:rRNA from 1 species
CCUACGGGAGGCAGCAGUGAGGAAUUUUCCGCAAUGGGCGAAAGCCUGACGGAGCAAUGCCGCGUGAAGGAUGAAGGCCUAUGGGUUGUAAACUUCUUUUCUCAGAGAAGAAAUUUUGACGGUAUCUGAGGAAUAAGCAUCGGCUAACUCUGUGCCAGCAGCCGCGGUAAGACAGAGGAUGCAAGCGUUAUCCGGAAUGAUUGGGCGUAAAGUGUCUGUAGGUGGCUUAAAAAGUCUCCUGUCAAAGAUCAGGGCUUAACCCUGGGCCGGCAGGAGAAACUCUUAGGCUAGAGUUUGGUAGGGGCAGAGGGAAUUCCCGGUGGAGCGGUGAAAUGCGUAGAGAUCGGGAGGAACACCAAAGGCGAAAGCACUCUGCUGGGCCACAACUGACACUCAGAGACGAAAGCGAGGGGAGCAAAGGGAUUAGAUACCCCUGUAGUCCUCGCCGUAAACGAUGGAUACUAGAUGUUGGAUAGGUUAAAUCAUUCAGUAUCGUAGCUAACGCGUGAAGUAUCCCGCCUGGGGAGUAUGCUCGCAAGAGUGAAACUCAAAGGAAUUGACGG